rnacentral:rRNA from 1 species
AUCGAACGCUGGCGGCAGGCCUAACACAUGCAAGUCGAACGAGUGGCGGACGGGUGAGUAAUGUCUGGGAAACUGCCUGAUGGAGGGGGAUAACUACUGGAAACGGUAGCUAAUACCGCAUACCACCAGAUCUUCCCAGAUGGGAUUAGCUUGUUGGUGGGGAAACGGCUCACCAAGGCGACGAUCCCUAGCGGGUCUGAGAGGAUGACCAGCCACACUGGAACGGGACCACGAUCCGGAGUCCUACGGGAGGCAGAAGUGGGGAAUAUUGCACAGUGGGCGCAAGCCGGAUGCGGCCAUGCCGGGUGUAUGAGGAGGGCCUUCGGGUUGUAAAGUACUUUCAGCGGGGAGGCGUUACCCGCAGAGGAAGCACCGGCUAACUCCGUGCCAGCAGCCGCGGUAAUUC